UAUGGAGAGUUUGAUCCUGGCUCAGGACGAACGCUGGCGGCGUGCCUUACACAUGCAAGUCGUGCGAGAACGGUUCCUUCGGGAACCUAGUAGAGCGGCGAACGGGUGAGUAAUACGUGAGCGAUCUGCCCGAAGGUGGGGGAUACCCCAGGGAAACCUGGACCAAUACCGCGUACAGCGUCGGGAGUGGAUGCCCGACGUGAAAGCCGGCCUCUUCUAUGCUGGCGCCUUCGGAUGAGCUCGCGGCCUAUCAGCUUGUUGGUGGGGUAACGGCCUACCAAGGCUAUGACGGGUAGCUGACGUGAGAGCGUGAUCAGCCACAUUGGGACUGAGACACGGCCCAGACUCCUACGGGAGGCAGCAGUGGGGAAUAUUGC
rnacentral:rRNA from 1 species